UACAGAGGUCUCAAGCGUUGUUCGGAUUCAUUGGGCGUAAAGGGUGCGUAGGCGGCGCGGUAAGUCGGGUGUGAAAUCUUGGAGCUUAACUCCGAAACUGCAUUCGAUACUGCCGUGCUUGAGGACUGGAGAGGAGACUGGAAUUUACGGUGUAGCGGUGAAAUGCGUAGAGAUCGGGAGGAACACCAGAGGCGAAGGCGGCGACCUGGACAAGUACUGACACUCAACUACGAAAGCGUGGGGAGCAAACAGG
rnacentral:rRNA from 1 species